rnacentral:rRNA from 1 species
AAACUCAAAGGAAUUGACGGGGACCCGCACAAGCAGCGGAGCGUGUGGUUUAAUCGUUGCUACACGUAAGAACCUUACCUGGGUUUGACGUAUAGGUUGUAGGGAACUGAAAAGGGACCGACCCUUCGGGGAGCCUAUACAGGUGCUGCAUGGCUGUCGUCAGCUCGUGCCGUGAGAUGUUCGGUUAAGUCCGCUAACGAGCGCAACCCUCGUCGUAUGUUAUAUGUGUCAUACGAGACUGCCGGUAAAAGCCGGAGGAAGGUGAGGAUGAUGUCAAGUCAGCAUGACCUUUAUAUCCAGGGCUACACACACGCUACAAUGGUCUGUACAAUGGGUAGCCAAGCCGCGAGGCGGAGCCAAUCCUCUAAAGCUGUCCUCAGUUCAGAUUGCAGGCUGCAACUCGCCUGCAUGAAGUUGGAGUUGCUAGUAACCGCAGGUCAGCUAUACUGCGGUGAAUACGUUCCCGGGGAUU